AUUGAACGCUGGCGGCAGGCCUAACACAUGCAAGUCGAACGAGUGGCGGACGGGUGAGUAAUGUAUGGGAAACUGCCUGAUGGAGGGGGAUAACUACUGGAAACGGUAGCUAAUACCGCAUAACCUCAGAUGUGCCCAGAUGGGAUUAGCUAGUUGGUGGGGUAACGGCUCACCAAGGCGACGAUCCCUAGCUGUUCUGAGAGGAUGACCAGCACCUCUGGAACCGAGACACGGUCCAGAUUCCUACGGGAGGAAUCAUUGGCGAAUGUUGCACAAUGGGCGCAAGCCUGAUGCAGCCAUGCCGCGUGUAUGAAGUAGGCCUUCGGGUUGUAAAGUACUUUCAGCGGGGAGGCGUUACCCGCAGAAGAAGCACCGGCUAACUCCGUGCCAGCAGCCGCGGUAAUUC
rnacentral:rRNA from 1 species